rnacentral:rRNA from 1 species
CAGUCGCCGCGGUAAUACGAAGGGUGCAAGCGUUACUCGGAAUUACUGGGCGUAAAGCGUGCGUAGGUGGUGGUUUAAGUCCGUUGUGAAAGCCCUGGGCUCAACCUGGGAAUUGCAGUGGAUACUGGGUCACUAGAGUGUGGUAGAGGAUAGUGGAAUUUCCGGUGUAGCAGUGAAAUGCGUAGAGAUCGGAAGGAACAUCUGUGGCGAAGGCGACUAUCUGGGCCAACACUGACACUGAGGCACGAAAGCGUGGGGAGCAAACAGGAUUAGAUACCCGUGUAGUCCCUGUCUCUUAUAU